UUCCGGUUGAUCCUGCCGGACCCGACCGCUAUCGGGGUGGGGCUAAGCCAUGGGAGUCUACACUCCCGGGAAGGGAGUGUGGCGGACGGCUGAGUAACACGUGGCUAACCUACCCUAAGGAGGUGGAUAACCCCGGGAAACUGGGGAUAAUCCACCAUAGGCGAGGAGUCCUGGAAUGGUUCCUCGCCGAAAGGCCCAUAGACUGUUCCCGUCUAUGGGCGCCUUAGGAUGGGGCUGCGGCCCAUCAGGUAGUUGGGGGAGUAAAGGUCCCCCAAGCCGAUAACGGGUAGGGGCCGUGAGAGCGGGAGCCCCCAGUUGGGCACUGAGACAAGGGCCCAGGCCCUACGGGGCGCACCAGGCGCGAAACGUCCCCAAUGCGCGAAAGCGUGAGGGCGUUACCCCGAGUGCUCCCGCAAGGGAGCUUUUCCUCACUCUAAAAAGGUGAGGGAAUAAGCGGAGGGCAAGUCUGGUGUCAGCCGCCGCGGUAAUACCAGC
rnacentral:rRNA from 1 species